AUUGAACGCUGGCGGCAUGCCUUACACAUGCAAGUCGAACGGCAGCACGGGAGCAAUCCUGGUGGCGAGUGGCGAACGGGUGAGUAAUGCAUCGGAACGUGCCGUGUAGUGGGGGAUAACGUAGCGAAAGUUACGCUAAUACCGCAUACGCCCCGAGGGGGAAAGUGGGGGACCGCAAGGCCUCACGCUAUACGAGCGGCCGAUGUCGGAUUAGCUAGUUGGUAGGGUAGAGGCCUACCAAGGCGACGAUCCGUAGCGGGUCUGAGAGGAUGAUCCGCCACACUGGGACUGAGACACGGCCCAGACUCCUACGGGAGGCAGCAGUGGGGAAUAUUGGACAAUGGGCGCAAGCCUGAUCCAGCCAUGCCGCGUGUGUGAUGAAGGCCUUAGGGUUGUAAAGCACUUUCACCGAUGAAGAUAAUGACGGUAGUCGGAGAAGAAGCCCCGGCUAACUUCGUGCCAGCAGCCGCGGUAAUGUACAGUGU
rnacentral:rRNA from 1 species